rnacentral:rRNA from 1 species
GUGGGGAAUAUUCCGCAAUGGACGAAAGUCUGACGGAGCAACGCCGCGUGAGUGAUGAAGGUUUUCGGACUGUAAAGCUCUGUUGUUUAGGACGAAAGUGCCUGUUGCGAACAGUUACAGGUAUUGACGGUACUAAACGAGGAAGCCACGGCUAACUACGUGCCAGCAGCCGCGGUAAUACGUAGGUGGUAAGCGUUGUCCGGAAUUAUUGGGCGUAAAGAGCAUGUAGGCGGAGAUUUAAGUCUGUUGUGAAAAUGCGGGGCUCAACCCCGUAUUGCGAUGGAAACUGAAUUUCUUGAGUGCAGGAGAGGAAAGGGGAAUUCCCAGUGUAGCGGUGAAAUGCGUAGAUAUUGGGAGGAACACCAGUGGCGAAGGCGCCUUUCUGGACUGUGUCUGACGCUGAGAUGCGAAAGCCAGGGUAGCGAACGGGAUUAGAAACCCGAGUAGUCC